CUGGGCGUAAGCGCGCGUAGGUGGUUCGUUAAGUUGGAUGUGAAAUCCCCGGGCUCAACCUGGGAACUGCAUCCAAAACUGGCGAGCUAGAGUAUGGUAGAGGGUGGUGGAAUUUCCUGUGUAGCGGUGAAAUGCGUAGAUAUAGGAAGGAACACCAGUGGCGAAGGCGACCACCUGGACUGAUACUGACACUGAGGUGCGAAAGCGUGGGGAGCAAACAGGAUUAGA
rnacentral:rRNA from 1 species